UACGGAGGAUCCAAGCGUUAUCCGGAUUUAUUGGGUUUAAAGGGUGCGUAGGCGGCCUGUUAAGUCAGGGGUGAAAGACGGUAGCUUAACUAUCGCAGUGCCCUUGAUACUGAUGGGCUUGAAUGUACUAGAGGUAGGCGGAAUGUGACAAGUAGCGGUGAAAAUGCAUAGAUAUGUCACAGAACACCAAUUGCGAAGGCAGCUUACUAUGGUAUGAUUGACGCUGAGGCACGAAAAGCGUGGGGGAUCAAAACAGG
rnacentral:rRNA from 1 species